rnacentral:rRNA from 1 species
ACGGCUCAGUAACACGUGGCUAACCUGCCCUUGGGACGAGAACACCCCCGGGAAACUGGGGCUAAUUCUCGAUAGGCGAAGAACUCUGGAAUGAGUCUUCACCCAAAAGACGCUUAGAUCAUGCUUCUAGACGUCGCCCAAGGAUGGGGCCGCGGCCGAUCAGGUUGUUGGUGAGGUAUGGCUCACCAAGCCUUUAACCGGUGCGGGCCGUGGGAGCGGGAGCCCGGAGAUGGGCACUGAGACAAGGGCCCAGGCCCUACGGGGCGCAGCAGUCGCGAAAACUUUGCGAUAAGCGAAAGCUUGACAGGGCUAUCCCGAGUGCCAUCCGCUGAGGAAGGCUUUUACCCAGUCUAGUAAGCUGGGGGAAUAAGGAGAGGGCAAGUCUGGUGUCAGCCGCCGCGGUAAUACCAGCUCUCCGAGUGGUGUGGAUGUUUAUUGGGCCUAAAGCAUCCGUAGCUGGCUGAGUUAGUCCCCUGUUAAAUCCACCGAAUCAAUCGUUGGAUUGCGGGGGAUACUGCUCGGCUAGGGGACGGGAGAGGCAGACGGUAUUUCCGGGGUAGGGGUGAAAUCCUAUAAUCCCGGGAAGACCACCAGUGGCGAAGGCUGUCUGCUAGAACGCGCCCGACGGUGAGGGAUGAAAGCUGGGGUAGCGAACCGGAUUAGAUACCCGGGUAGUCCCAGCUGUAAACGAUGCAUGCUAGGUGUUUGGGCGGCCACGUGCCGCUCUAGUGCCGCAGGAAGCUGUUAAGCCUGCCGCCCGGGGAGUACGAUCGCAAGAUUGAAACUUUAAAGGAAUUGGCGGGGAGCACA